ACUUCUAAAUCUGAAAUGAAAUCUAAAUUUCCAUCCUGUAGCCAUCCUGUCAUAUCUGUGCUGUGCUAGGAGGUCAUUUGUAUCAGCCAAUCAUCAUUCAGCAUUCCUGACAUCAAAGAACUAUGCUYUGAUGUGAUUGGAGGAUUAUAGUAUUAGACUUUAACAGCAUCUUAUCGGUUUAAUUAAAUAAAUUUUCUAGAUUUUUAUUAUUUAUUUGUUCAUAUUUCAGUUUUAACCUGCACCCUGUUGGCUUCAGCUCACAUCUUUUAUUUUUUAUUCAGAUUGUACAGCUGCAGUUUGUCGGAGACCAGCUGGACGUCUCUGUUCUCAGCUCUGAAGUCCAAACCGACCCAUCUGACAGAACUGAACCUGUUAGACAGCAACCUGGGAGAUUCUGCAGUGAAGGAGCUCUGUGAUUUUCUACAGACUGAAGGCUGCAGACUACAAAAAUUGGAAUUGGGGGGCUACAAUUUGCCAGAGGCCAGCUGGACUUCUCUGUUCUCAGCUCUGAAGUCCAACCCGACCCAUCUGACAUUACUGGAGCUGGGCUGGACCAACCUGGAAGAUUCUGGAGUGAAGGAGCUCUGUGGUUUUCUACAGACUGAAGGCUGCAGAUUACAACAAUUAAGAUUGAUCAGCUGCAGAUUCUCAGAGAUCAGCUGGACUUCUCUGUUCUCAGCUCUGAAGUCCAACCCGACCCAUCUGAUAGAACUGAACCUGAACAGAACCAACCUGGGAGAUUCUGGAGUGAAGGAGCUCUGUGGUUUUCUACAGACUGAAGGCUGCAGACUGGAGAUAUUGAGGUU